rnacentral:lncRNA from 1 species
AGUCAAGGCCACGCAGCUGUUUGGGCCACGGCAGCGCCCACGCGUCGUCGUAGGAUGUGCGCCUCGCCACCGACAUAGCCGAAACCGACUUGAAGUCGAGUACUGCUCCGUUGUCAUCCCCUCGCCGCCGCUUCUCCUUGCCACCGCCUUAGUCUCUCUCCAAACUUCCUCUCCGUCUCUCUUUUCCAGCCGCCAACCACAGAGAAAGCAGAGCUCUUGCCUCCCAUCAUCCCCCUCCCCGAACCAGCAAGUGCAUCGUCGCCGGAGUUGUCGUCGCCAACGCGAGGACACCGUCGGCUCCAUUCUAGCCGCCGACGCCAUCUCUUCCGAAUUCGCCACCACCGACUCCCCUCCUCCAAAAUCAAGGUAUCCAUCACCUUCGCCAUAACCGUGUACCUUUUUCCCCUCACUUU